GUCAAUCCAGGUGCUACCAAACAGCCCUGGCAAGGAGCAGCCUUUUCCCUAACGUGCCCUUUAGGAAGAGAGAGAACCUGAAUGUCCCCUGCCUUGUGGAAAGAAAAGUGCAAGGUGCUGCUAUCAUGCGGCCCAGAGCAAAGAGGCUGGCCAUUCACAGACAGGUUGGGAGGAGGCAGUGCAUCCUAACCUAGCUGAUGCCCCCACCCACCAAGCUAGGAGGGAGAUGCAAGUCCAAAGAAUGGCCAACCACGCUGGGAACAGGGAGCAGUGGUUGGCGAAGCACAGGGUAGAGCUCUAUGGCUUCCAGGACCUGAGGCCCAGUUCUGCAAUAGAGACUACGUCUGAUAGUUGUACUGUCCAGUGGGAUAGCCACUGACCACACCUGGCCACUGAGACUCAGGAAUGAACACCAACUGUGUCCAUUUUAAUGAAUGCCGCUUGCAGCUUGCCAUUCCUGUCUAAGAAAACAUGGCUUGAGAGCCUGACAAGAUCUGAAGAAGAGGAAGCUGCUGUCCACAGCCUUCUCUGAUUGGUGGGUACCAAGGACUCCAAUUUGGGCUGGUGUGACACUGCCCAUUCCCUCUGACUCCAUUUUUUUAUACCCCAUCAGCAAAGUGAAGCUCUACCCUA